UAAAAAGGCAUCUUUUUAUUUUUAAAAGACCUUUUUCGGAAGGUAUGCUUAAAGAGGGGCUUGCGUCACAUUAGUUAGUUGGUAGGGUAAAGGCCUACCAAGACGAUGAUGUGUAGCUGGACUGAGAGGUUGAACAGCCACAUUGGGACUGAGACACGGCCCAAACUCCUACGGGAGGCAGCAGUAGGGAAUUUUCGGCAAUGGAGGAAACUCUGACCGAGCAACGCCGCGUGAACGACGAAGUACUUCGGUAUGUAAAGUUCUUUUAUUGAAGAAGAAACAAUAGUGGAAAAACUAUCUUGACGUUAUUCAAUGAAUAAGCCCCGGCUAACUAUGUGCCAUAUAGUGGAGGUUAUCAGGGAUACAGGUGGUGCAUGGUUGUCGUCAGCUCGUGUCGUGAGAUGUUAGGUUAAGUUCUAAAACGAGCGCAACCCCUGUCGUUAAUUGCCAGCACGUUAUGGUGGGGACUUUAGCGAGACUGCCAAUGAAAAAUUGGAGGAAGGUGGGGAUUACGUCAAAUCAUCAUGCCCCUUAUGAUCUGGGCUACAAACGUGAUACAAUGGCUAUUACAAAGAGUAGCUGAAACGCGAGUUUUCGGCAAAUCUCAAAAAAAUAGUCUCAGUUCGGAUUGAAGUCUGCAACUCGACUUCAUGAAGUUGGAAUCGCUAGUAAUCGCGAAUCAGCAUGUCGCGGUGAAUAC
rnacentral:rRNA from 1 species